rnacentral:rRNA from 1 species
UGAGGAAUAUUGGUCAAUGGGCGCAGGCCUGAACCAGCCAAGUAGCGUGAAGGAUGACUGCCCUAUGGGUUGUAAACUUCUUUUAUAAAGGAAUAAAGUCGGGUAUGGAUACCCGUUUGCAUGUACUUUAUGAAUAAGGAUCGGCUAACUCCGUGCCAGCAGCCGCGGUAAUACGGAGGAUCCGAGCGUUAUCCGGAUUUAUUGGGUUUAAAGGGAGCGUAGAUGGAUGUUUAAGUCAGUUGUGAAAGUUUGCGGCUCAACCGUAAAAUUGCAGUUGAUACUGGAUAUCUUGAGUGCAGUUGAGGCAGGCGGAAUUCGUGGUGUAGCGGUGAAAUGCUUAGAUAUCACGAAGAACUCCGAUUGCGAAGGCAGCCUGCUAAGCUGCAACUGACAUUGAGGCUCGAAAGUGUGGGUAUCAAACAGGAUUAGAUACCCUGGUAGUCCACACGGUAAACGAUGAAUACUCGCUGUUUGCGAUAUACUGCAAGCGGCCAAGCGAAAGCGUUAAGUAUUCCACCUGGGGAGUACGCCGGCAACGGUGAAACUCAAAGGAAUUGACGGGGGCCCGCACAAGCGGAGGAACAUGUGGUUUAAUUCGAUGAUACGCGAGGAACCUUACCCGGGCUUAAAUUGCAGAUGAAUUACGGUGAAAGCCGUAAGCCGCAAGGCAUCUGUGAAGGUGCUGCAUGGUUGUCGUCAGCUCGUGCCGUGAGGUGUCGGCUUAAGUGCCAUAACGAGCGCAACCCUUGUUGUCAGUUACUAACAGGUUCCGCUGAGGACUCUGACAAGACUGCCAUCGUAAGAUGUGAGGAAGGUGGGGAUGACGUCAAAUCAGCACGGCCCUUACGUCCGGGGCUACACACGUGUUACAAUGGGGGGUACAGAGGGCCGCUACCACGCGAGUGGAUGCCAAUCCCCAAAACCUCUCUCAGUUCGGACUGGAGUCUGCAACCCGACUCCACGAAGCUGGAUUUGCUAGUAAUCGCGCAUCAGCCACGGCGCGGUGAAUACGUUCCC